CCUACGGGUGGCUGCAGUCGAGAAUCUUUCACAAUGGGGGCAACCCUGAUGGAGCGACGCCGCGUGGAGGAUAAGGUCUUCGGAUUGUAAACUCCUGUCAUGCGAGACCAAGGUUGCAGGGCUAACACCUUUGCAAAUUGAUGGUACCGCAAGAGGAAGAGACGGCUAACUCUGUGCCAGCAGCCGCGGUAAUACAGAGGUCUCAAGCGUGGUUCGGAAUCACUGGGCGUAAGGGUUGUAAGGGAGGCGUGAAAGCCCUGGGCUCAACCUCGGAAUUGCAUCCGAGACUGCCAUGCUGGAGUACUGGAGAGGGGACUAGAAUUCUAGGUGUAGCAGUGAAAUGCGUAGAUAUCUAGAGGAAUACCAACGGCGAAGGCAGGUCACUGGGCAGUUACUGACACUGAGGCACGAAGGCCAGGGGAGCAAACGGGAUUAGAUACCCUUGUAGUC
rnacentral:rRNA from 1 species